UCGUCUCUCCUCCUCCUGCCCACCGUUUAUUUCGCCUACGGAGAGGAGGAGAGGACGAGAAAGCUUCGAUCUUUAUUAGGAACCGGGGGGAUUAGGGCUCGUGUCCGUGGUCGGGUCCGGGCGCCAAAGAGGGGGGGAGGAAAUGGAGGCGUUUGAGGCUUUCGACUCGUUAUUGGCCGCGGCGAGCAGAGCUUGCUGCAGCCCCCUCGCCGUCUUCAUCCAGAUCCAGGGUUGUAUAAUCUGUUUAACUCUUGCUGUUGGAUGGGGCUUUGCUGCCUAUGUCAGGAAUAGAGUUAUACAGCGCAUGAAGCUUAAUAUUGCAAAUGGCAAUAGCUUUGCAUUCAUCUGUGAAGAUAUUAAUGAUCUUGAACACUCUGCUCAGCUGAAUUUACCUAGAGUGUCAGUUAUAAUGCCUUUGAAAGGCUUUGGAGAACACAAUUUGCAAAACUGGAGAACCCAAAUUACUUCUCUCUAUGGAGGACCUCUAGAGUUUCUUUUUGUAGUUGAAAGUGCCGAAGAUCCAGCUUACCAUGCAGUGUCUUCACUCAUCUUAGAGUUUCAGGAGAGUGUUGAUGCGAAGAUUGUCAUAGCUGGCCUGUCAAAAACAUGCAGUCAGAAGAUUCAUAAUCAAUUGGUUGGUGUGGAAAGGAUGCAUAAAGAUAGCAAGUAUGUUUUGUUCCUGGAUGAUGACAUUAGACUCCAUCCUGGAUCAAUAGGAGCCCUUACAACAGAAAUGGAGAAAAACCCUGAGAUUUUUAUUCAAACUGGAUAUCCUCUUGAUUUGCCCUCAGGAAGCUUGGGUAGUUACUGCAUAUAUGAAUAUCACAUGCCUUGCUCUAUGGGGUUUGCAACUGGUGGAAAAACUUUCUUUCUGUGGGGAGGCUGCAUGAUGAUGCACGCUCAAGAUUUUAGGAACGACUUGUAUGGAGUUGUUAGUGGGCUUCAAGAUGGGGGGUACUCGGAUGACAUGACCCUGGCAGCAAUUGCUGGACAACAUAACAGACUUAUUUGGUCACCACCAGUUGCUGUCUUCCCCCAUCCCCUUGCAAGUGAUCUUAGCUUUCCAAGAUACUGGAAUUACCUAAGGAAACAAACAUUUGUUCUUGAAUCCUACAUAUCAAAGGUUAAUUGGCUGAUGAACCGUGCCUUGUUCGCUACACAUUGCUAUUUAUCCUGGGGAUUUGUCUGGCCAUAUGUCAUGGCAUUAAUACAUCUUGCAGCAUUUGUAAGAGCACCAUUUUGUGGUUCUACAUACAGUGAGGCAUUUUCCUCAUCUUGUGGCUUGUCACUGGCGAGCUGCUUGCUUAUAUCCACUGUUAUAGAACUUCUGUCAAUGUGGAACUUGACUAAGCUGGAGAUUCAGUUAUGCAACAUGUUAUCUCCAGAAGAGCCAACAGUCUCACUCGGAUCUUAUAACUGGGGACUUGUAUUUCUGGCGAUGCUUGUAGAUAACUUCUUGUACCCUAUCUCUGCAAUUCGUUCACGUUUUUCACAGUCCAUAAAUUGGUCUGGUGUCCGAUACCACUUGGAAAAGGGGAAAAUAAUCAAGAUCGAAAGAUCCAUAGCAAAUGGCCCAAGCUACUCUGAUCUUGCAUGGAAGAGGCUAUAUGGGAAAAGGCAGAUCCAUCGUAGUACUUCAUUUAUUAGCUAUUUGUCAAGAAAGUAUUAUCCAUUGGCACCAACCAAAGAAGGAUGACAGCCAGCAGCUGAGUGUGCAGCAUAAAAGUCAUCCAAUUUUUGUUACAAUUGAUGCAUUACAUUGUAUUUUUGUUCUUUCUUUAACCUUUUUUCGUUUCGAAGGUCUGAUUCAAUUUAUGGAUUCUUAUGGUGUCAGGUCGUGCUCACCAUUGAGAUUUUUACAAUGCCAGUUGAUUGUAUCACUAUAGAAACAAGCAUUUCGUUAAGACAAGAAAAAGGAGUAUCCUUUUCCUUCUUUCUUCCCA